rnacentral:rRNA from 1 species
AUUGAACGCUGGCGGAAUGCUUUACACAUGCAAGUCGAGCGGCAGCGCGGGGCAACCUGGCGGCGAGCGGCGAACGGGUGAGUGAUGCAUCGGAACAUGUCCAUGUCGUGGGGGAUAGCCCGGCGAAAGCCGGAUUAAUACCGCAUACGCCCGAGAGGGGAAAGUGGGGGACCGCAAGGCCUCACGCGAUUGGGUUGGCCGAUGUCCGAUUAGCUAGUUGGCGGGGAAUGGCCCACCAAGGCGAUGAUCGGUAGCUGGUCUGAGAGGAUGAUCAGCCACACUGGGACUGAGACACGGCCCAGAC